UACGAAGGGGGCUAGCGUUGUUCGGAAUUACUGGGCGUAAAGCGUGCGCAGGCGGUUGUGCAAGACAGAUGUGAAAUCCCCGGGCUUAACCUGGGAAUUGCAUUUGUGACUGCACGGCUAGAGUGUGUCAGAGGGGGGGGUAGAAUUCCACGUGUAGCAGUGAAAUGCGUAGAUAUGUGGAGGAAUACCGAUGGCGAAGGCAGCCCCCUGGGAUAACGACUGACGCUCAUGCACGAAAGCGUGGGGAGCAAACAGG
rnacentral:rRNA from 1 species